CCCCUCUCUGGGUCGCCCCUGGAGAGUUUCCAGUCCUCUACCAGUCUCGGCUUCGGGAGGGAGAGUCGAGCAGAGGCCUAUCCAUUCCAUUCCUAGUUUGGGCAGUGGCUAGCGAGUGGCAGGCCAUCUGUUACAAGU
rnacentral:snoRNA from 1 species